ACGUACACUCCUACGGGAGGCAGCAGUGGGGAAUAUUGCACAAUGGGCGCAAGCCUGAUGCAGCCAUGCCGCGUGUAUGAAGAAGGCCUUCGGGUUGUAAAGUACUUUCAGCGGGGAGGAAGGCGAUAAGGUUAAUAACCUUGUUGAUUGACGUUACCCGCAGAAGAAGCACCGGCUAACUCCGUGCCAGCAGCCGCGGUAAUACGGAGGGUGCAAGCGUUAAUCGGAAUUACUGGGCGUAAAGCGCACGCAGGCGGUCUGUCAAGUCGGAUGUGAAAUCCCCGGGCUCAACCUGGGAACUGCAUUCGAAACUGGCAGGCUAGAGUCUUGUAGAGGGGGGUAGAAUUCCAGGUGUAGCGGUGAAAUGCGUAGAGAUCUGGAGGAAUACCGGUGGCGAAGGCGGCCCCCUGGACAAAGACUGACGCUCAGGUGCGAAAGCGUGGGGAGCAAACAGGAUUAGAAACCCCUGUAGUCCCAU
rnacentral:rRNA from 1 species